CAAUAGCGUAUAUUAAAGUUGUUGCAGUUAAAAAGCUCGUAGUUGGAUUUCUGGUUGAAGCGACCGGUCGGGCGUUGAUUCGUCUGCACUGGAGUCGGUUUUGGCCAUCCUCUAGGAAAGUGCGUCUGGUAUUAAGUUAUCGGGCGUAUGAUCCUGGUCUUUUACUGUGAAAAAAUUAGAGUGUUUAAAGCAGGCCUUCGCCUUGAAUACAUUAGCAUGGAAUAAUAAGAUAGGACUUUGGUCUAUUUUGUUGGUUUGCAGACCGAAGUAAUGAUUAAUAGGGAUAGUUGGGGGUAUUUAUAUUCCGAUGUCAGAGGUGAGAUUCUUAGAUUUUCGGAAGAUAAACUUAUGCGAAAGCAUUUACCAAGGAUGUUUNCAUUA
rnacentral:rRNA from 1 species